AGUUUGAUCAUGGCUCAGAACGAACGCUGGCGGCAUGCCUAACACAUGCAAGUCGAACGAAGCCUUCGGGCUUAGUGGCGCACGGGUGCGUAACGCGUGGGAAUCUGCCUUGGGUUCGGAAUAACAGUUAGAAAUGACUGCUAAUACCGAAUGAUGUCUUCGGACCAAAGAUUUAUCGCCCAAGGAUGAGCCCGCGUCGGAUUAGCUAGUUGGUGAGGUAAAGGCUCACCAAGGCGACGAUCCGUAGCUGGUCUGAGAGGAUGAUCAGCCACACUGGGACUGAGACACGGCCCAGACUCCUACGGGAGGCAGCAGUGGGGAAUAUUGGACAAUGGGCGAAAGCCUGAUCCAGCAAUGCCGCGUGAGUGAUGAAGGCCUUAGGGUUGUAAAGCUCUUUUACCCGGGAUGAUAAUGACAGUACCGGGAGAAUAAGCCCCGGCUAACUCCGUG
rnacentral:rRNA from 1 species